rnacentral:rRNA from 1 species
CCUACGGGAGGCAGCAGUGAGGAAUAUUGGUCAAUGGACGAGAGUCUGAACCAGCCAAGUAGCGUGAAGGAUGACUGCCCUAUGGGUUGUAAACUUCUUUUAUAUGGGAAUAAAAUGUUCCACGUGUGGGAUUUUGUAUGUACCAUAUGAAUAAGGAUCGGCUAACUCCGUGCCAGCAGCCGCGGUAAUACGGAGGAUCCGAGCGUUAUCCGGAUUUAUUGGGUUUAAAGGGAGCGUAGGUGGAUUGUUAAGUCAGUUGUGAAAGUUUGCGGCUCAACCGUAAAAUUGCAGUUGAAACUGGCAGUCUUGAGUACAGUAGAGGUGGGCGGAAUUCGUGGUGUAGCGGUGAAAUGCUUAGAUAUCACGAAGAACUCUGAUUGCGAAGGCAGCUCACUGGACUGCAACUGACACUGAGGCUCGAAAGUGUGGGUAUCGAACAGGAUUAGAUACCCCAGUAGUC